GUGGGGAAUCUUCCGCAAUGGACGAAAGUCUGACGGAGCGACGCCGCGUGAGUGAAGAAGGCCUUCGGGUCGUAAAGCUCUGUCAUCAGGGACGAACGGCCGGUGGAGUGGAAAGCCACCGGAUUGACGGUACCCGAGAAGGAAGCCACGGCUAACUACGUGCCAGCAGCCGCGGUAAUACGUAGGUGGCAAGCGUUGUCCGGAAUUAUUGGGCGUAAAGCGCGCGCAGGUGGGAUCUUAAGUCCAUUUUUAAAGUUCGGAGCUCAACUCCGUGAUGGGAUGGAAACUGGGAUUCUUGAGUACCGGAGAGGAAAGCGGAAUUCCCCGUGUAGCGGUGAAAUGCGUAGAUAUGGGGAGGAACACCAGUGGCGAAGGCGGCUUUCUGGACGGUGUCUGACACUGAGGCGCGAAAGCCAGGGGAGCGAACGGGAUUAGAAACCCGAGUAGUCC
rnacentral:rRNA from 1 species